rnacentral:lncRNA from 1 species
CCAGUUGUAUAUAUCCUUUACGGGCAGUCUUUUGGUUGGCGAGUCCUCGAUGGCCAUAAAUAUGAGGCAGCUAAAGGAGUAAGGAGGUUUGCAGUUGGGGUUCUGCUUGGCAUCGUAGGGCAUGUCCGAGUGGGCGGGGGACGGAGGCGUGUCGUCACCAAUGUCCUGAACGGGGCUGACGCUUCGUAACACCGAGUCCCCAAAGCUCUUCAGCAAGUUCUUGCUCUCGUGUAACCAGUUCAAGUUAGUUAGUUCUUCAUCUUCCAUGGCCCCUUUAUCUAAUCUGAUGGCAGGCAAAGAGAAAUCUAGGUCCUCGUCAUCGUGAAGUGCCUUUGACAAAUCGCUAUCUUGGUAACGCUGGCUCAGCCCGCUGGGAACACUGAUUCCUGAGCCCUCCGGCUUCUUGCUGGGCGGCAUGACUGGACCCAUUGAGGCAGAGGCUCCUGGCGGGGGGCGGCCUCAGCGCGGUCCUUCCAUGGCUGCGGCGCAAACUUUCAUCUGACGGAGGCGGGCAUGGCGCGCCCCGCCUCAGCCCGAGCCCCGAGCGCGCCGCGGGGGUCCCGGCGCGGGGCGCUCCGCCGCCUGCAUGGGCUCGGCCGCACCGCCCCCCACCCCGCGCCGCCGGGCAGCGGUCCGCCCGGCGCGAGCCGAAGAGCGAGAAAUUGUUUCCACCGCAAACAAAAAAGGCGACACAUGACCAGGGAGGAGGGGAGAGAGGGAAAACGUGGGCCGGGCCACCGCGCCGGGAGAGCCGCGGAAGGGAGGGAGGGCC